rnacentral:rRNA from 1 species
UGCAGAAUCCCGUGAACCAUCGAGUCUUUGAACGCAAGUUGCGCCCGAAGCCAUUAGGCCUAGGGCACGUCUGCCUGGGCGUCACGC